GCCGCAGCAACCCCUCAACAGCAACAUUGUACCCAUCAGGUAAAAGGUCAACUGACAGCUGCUGGCUGAAACCUGUUCUACUAUGUGAUCAGCAGGAAGUCUGUGGAGCAGCAGGAGCAGGAGGAAGAAAGAUCGUACAACAGAUAAACACCAAACUCUGUGGACAUUCCUGCUCUUUUCACAUAAACUCCUCUAAUGUGUAAAACAGAAGAGACGUCAUGUACACAUGGUGCUUGUGUUUGAGAAGAAAAAAGAACAAAUGCUGUUUGGUAAUGUAAAAAGUAAAAUUAGAAAUAAAAUGAC